CGUGAGCUCUAGUAGUAAAUAACUAUUGCAUUCUUUCUUUCGGGUUAAUAAACCAAAUCUUCAACUUGCAUCGCGAUUUUCAGGCUUUUUGGAAACAACAGCUUGUCUGAUACAUGACUGCCAUCCCAAAAAAGCUAUAAACUUCUUAAUGUGCUUUAGGAAGGGAUGAAUGGGAGUUUUGAUGGCCCACUCUGCAAGUUUUUAAUGAAGGAUCUAAAAUUAAACUAAGGAAGAAAGAAGAUGAAGAAGCUGAUGAAAAAUAGCAGUACCUAUGGUAGUUAUUGCUUCUUAGAGGAAAAUGAAAAAGCUUGUCCAAGACAUUUCAUUGGUUGAGGCUGCACUUAGGACCUCAUCUCAGCUUGUUGUAAGUUCCGAUGGAAAGAAAGUGAAGCGAUUGCAUGCAUUGGCAGAUAUUGACAUCGAAGAUGCAAAAGUAUUUCUAUGAUGGCUUCUUGAUCAUUUGCACAGCAAUCUGUUAUGGUCAAGGUUGGUCCCACCUUUUGCACUUGAGCUGUUGAUGCGAGCUA